GAUGAACGCUGGUGGCGUGCCUAAUACAUGCAAGUCGAGCGAACGGACGAGAAGCUUGCUUCUCUGAUGUUAGCGGCGGACGGGUGAGUAACACGUGGAUAACCUACCUAUAAGACUGGGAUAACUUCGGGAAACCGGAGCUAAUACCGGAUGAUAUUUUGAACCGCAUGGUUCAAAAGUGAAAGGCGGUCUUGCUGUCACUUAUAGAUGGAUCCGCGCUGCAUUAGCUAGUUGGUAAGGUAACGGCUUACCAAGGCAACGAUGCAUAGCCGACCUGAGAGGGUGAUCGGCCACACUGGAACUGAGACACGGUCCAGACUCCUAUGGGAGGCAGCAGUAGGGAAUCUUCCGCAAUGGGCGAAAGCCUGACGGAGCAACGCCGCGUGAGUGAUGAAGGUCUUCGGAUCGUAAAACUCUGUUAUUAGGGAAGAACAUAUGUGUAAGUAACUGUGCACAUCUUGACGGUACCCAAUCAGAAAGCCACGGCUAACUACGUG
rnacentral:rRNA from 1 species